rnacentral:lncRNA from 1 species
UGUAUAAUAUCUGAUCCGGAAUGGCCUAACAAAAAAUUGCAUCGAAUUUUAUAGCUGAGGGAUGAAACACUUCAAGAAGAUGUCCUGAAGACCUCUGCAGGUCAUGGAGAGAAUGGCAGACCUUCCUGCCUGGGAGGUGGUGGCUGAAAAUACAGCCUUUGUUCAGGUCUUUCAUUGUUUCUUCUCUCAUCAUCCUGAACUUGCUCUGAUAGACUAGACUGGGAACUAACUAAUUACAGAGAUCUCAGACCAAGCCCUCCUCUUACUAAGGUCAUGGCACAGUCAAAGCUCUGUCCUUCCUUAUUAAAGUGAUAAGAGAUGACCCAAAGAGAGAGAGAAAACAAAGGCUCCUGUGAUAAUGACAGUCAGCCAGUCAAUCACUGAACAGGGAAAAGUGUGUGUAUAGUGGGUACCCAGUGCCACAUUCACACAAGCCCUGGGAUAGACCACGCCCACAAAGCACCCACUUGAACUGAAGAGACAACAGCGAGAAUACAGAGAUUUCUGCUGCAUGCUAGUUAAUCAGGAACUCCAAACCAAAGCCAAAGCGUAGACAGACCACACAAAAGUAUUUAGGAAAUGCUGAAACCAUAGCUCCCUUUAUUCUAGGGGUGAUUAGCCAAAAUGAAAAAGGAGAAUAAGGCAAAAUAGAACCAAAGAGAAUGACAGUUAAUGAUAACAAGCAGACUGUGUGGGAGGAAAGAAGUUUUGGAAACCAGUUGGAGAAAUCUGCUGCCUCCCUGGAGAUGUUUGCCCACAGUUAUAUUCCAUCAUCAACUGUAGAUCCUUUUGAUUUUGAAGCAUGCUGAUUUCAGGAUCUGCUAAAAAUAAAUAUUUGCCUUAUUAAUGCCAAGUCUUUUGACCUUGACAUCACCUCUCAGCCCUUAAAGCAUAAGCAGAGACAGAUUUUCUGCAAAGAAUGACACCUCCUUAAGAAAACAUUCUGUUGCCUCAUUAUUUCUAUUUUGUAAUUACUUGUUCACAUCUCCCUGUCUCUGCUGCUGGAAUAAUUGCUAAGCUGAGGCACCGUCAUAACACGUGGACUGCUCUCUCUCUCUUUCGCGCUGGUCUUCACUGGUCUCCGUGCUGUAAUCAGAAAGAUCUUUCAAAAAUGAAGACCUGACUGUGCCAACCUAUUCAAACUCUUUACAUGUUUUAGAAAUUUUAAGAUCUUCAACUUUUCCAGUUUCAUUUUGUUCUUUGCAUGCAUACCUUAGGCUCCAGCAGAAAUGAACUCCUCACAGCUCUCUGCAGCUUGUCUCUAAGCAAUGGUGUAUGCAUUGCAUUGCAUUGCUGACUUCUAUCUAGUUGUCUGUACCCUGUCUGAUCCUUAAGCUUCUUGAACCCAAAGACUACGCCUGUGAAUUACACUGUAUAUCUACACCUUUUUUCAAAAGUGCCGUGCAGCACAACAGAUUGAGUGCCUACAAACAGGUUGAACAUGUACUUGUGUUUAUUUUAAAGAGUAGAAAAAGACCAAAUGCUUCAUUAAUUGGUGGACUUGAGGAUGUACAAAAGAGAUACAUGGAAGAAAGUAAAAACUGAGACUCAGUGGUAAGAAGAAAAUUAAUAACAACAACAAUAAAAGAUAUGUUGCUCUGGGCUAAAACUGCACACAAAUCAAUCUUGAUUUAGCUGCCCUUCUGGACCAAUAGCCUCACUGUACAUGAAGCCUCAUUAACGCUCUCAAGGAUCGAAGUACUUGAUGUCUGGACCAUGAAUAAAGCACAAUCAACUUUGCAUGAUCUACUCUAGAAAGGAAAAUCAUAAAAUACAAGAAUGUAAUCCCAGAACAUCAUGCCACCACUACUUAGCAAAAGCCCAUUUAAACUGUAUGUGAAUAAGGCCAGUCCUCAGAGAAGAGUGGAGCCAGAGUCAAAUGAUGUCAAGUCCUAGAAAUUGGAGUCACUGGAUGGAGUUACACCUGAGAUCAGCACAACCCAGUGCUUCCCACUCUAGUGAAUCAAAACUCGCUUCUCAGUACUUCAGUGAUUCUGAAAGCUGUUAUUCCCAUGAGAAAGUGUUCUCAAUAAAGCAGAA